CCGCCCCCCAACCCCCGCAGGGCGCAUGCGCUGCCUGCUGAGUAGGGCGGUGGUAGGGUAAACCUGGCUGUGAUCCCCCCCCUGCACAUUCCUCUCGCCUCUCCCCGUUGCGAGUGACACAUAACGCAGCGCGGGUGCGCGCGCGGCAGAUUCACCACGGCCUCCGUGUUGUAGAGACCUAGUGACGCAGCUGAACGUCCUGAAGACCUGCAGAAUGCUACAUCCUGCAGCAUCCUGGAGAGUAAGGUGUUGACCUUCCUCCUUUGCGGAGCUUAGCCACAAACCACUAAGCAGGCUAUAAUGUCAUAUGAGAACACAUCCCAGGAGUCUCUAUGAAGAGAACCGAAACCCCAUAACAUCAAGCCAAUCAAGUAGAGAAGAGAAGGACAUGGAACUAAUAAAGGCUGA